rfam:Camelus ferus unplaced genomic scaffold scaffold2787, whole genome shotgun sequence.
GAGGGUAUAGCUUAGGGGUAGAGUGCCUGCCUAGCAUGCACGAGGUCAUGGGUUCAAUCCCCUGUACUUCUA